CGGGGAGCGAGUGGGAGAGCGGCCGCGAAGCUCCAGUGUUGAAAACGCACCCCUCCCAGCUUUUUGCAAGGCCUACUUGGGGGCGGAGAGACAAGCAAGCUGUCAUGUUAUAAGCAGCCCUUUGAGGGGUCCAUGUGAUGUCAAGGAAUGAAGUCUCUAGCCAACAUUUAAUGAGGAACUGAGGCCCACCAACAACCUUGAGUGAGCUUGGAAGUAGCUCCUUCAGCAUCAGUUGGGUGUCGAGAUGACUACUGACAGCUUGACUGCAACUUCAUGAGAGUCUUCUGGACCAGAACCACUCAGUUAAGUGGCUCCCAGAUUCCUGAUCCUCAGAAACUCUGAGAAAUAAUGAAUGUUGGUUGUUUUAAAAUGGUAAAUUUUGAGGUAUUAUGUUAUGUGGCAAUAGAUAGCUAAUAUAUAAAUUAUUUGAAUCAAACAAUACGUUAAAUUAAAGCUCAGAAGAAUAAACAUCUGUAAUUCCUUAAUUUGUUUUCCCUUCUAUUCUACAGAAUAGAAUUUUACAGAUGAACCUUGUAGUUACUUGUGCAAUAAGAGACAGUAUGUUGUAUUGAUUAAGUGCAGAGCCUCUGGAUGUAUGAUAGAAGAAAGACCAAUAUUCAAUUGCUUUCUUCUUCAAUUCCAAGCUUGUGAGCUUGAGCAAAUUUUAAAAGUGUUUUAAGCCUCAGUUUCCUGGGAUGGUAGUGCUUAGCUCGAGCUCCUAGCAUAUAUUAACUACAAACUAAAUAUUAGCUAUAAUUAUUAGUUUUACUUUGAUUAUUGACUCUAAAUAAAUACCUUAAGAACUUUGUGUUCUCCACAGAUUUGGAUAUGUCUGGACGUUAUGUAGGCUGGAGUAGUCAGCAAUUACUUGCCUGAGGAAGGGAAGGCCUCCUCCUUUAAGAAAAGAAUAGGCUGG
rnacentral:lncRNA from 1 species